GGUGCCGGAAGAUUAAAUGAUGGGGUGCAAGCUCUUGAUUGAAGUCCCGGUAAACGGCGGCCGUAACUAUAACGGUCCUAAGGUAGCGAAAUUCCUUGUCGGGUAAGUUCCGACCUGCACGAAUGGCGUAACGAUGGCCACACUGUCUCCUCCCGAGACUCAGCGAAGUUGAAGUGUUUGUGAUGAUGCAAUCUACCCGCGGCUAGACGGAAAGACCCCAUGAACCUUUACUGUAGCUUUGCAUUGGACUUUGAACCGAUCUGUGUAGGAUAGGUGGGAGGCUAUGAAACCGGAACGCUAGUUUCGGUGGAGCCGUCCUUGAAAUACCACCCUGGUUUGUUUGAGGUUCUAACCUUGGCCCGUGAUCCGGGUCGGGGACAGUGCAUGGUAGGCAGUUUGACUGGGGCGGUCUCCUCCCAAAGCGUAACGGAGGAGUACGAAGGUACGCUAGGUACGGUCGGAAAUCGUGCUGAUAGUGCAAUGGCAUAAGCGUGCUUAACUGCGAGACCGACAAGUCGAGCAGGUGCGAAAGCAGGUCAUAGUGAUCCGGUGGUUCUGUAUGGAAGGGCCAUCGCUCAACGGAUAAAAGGUACUCUGGGGAUAACAGGCUGAUACCGCCCAAGAGUUCAUAUCGACGGCGGUGUUUGGCACCUCGAUGUCGGCUCAUCUCAUCCUGGGGCUGUAGCCGGUCCCAAGGGUAUGGCUGUUCGCCAUUUAAAGAGGUACGUGAGCUGGGUUUAAAACGUCGUGAGACAGUUUGGUCCCUAUCUGCCGUGGGCGUUGGAUAUUUGAAGGGGGCUGCUCCUAGUACGAGAGGACCGGAGUGGACGAACCUCUGGUGUACCGGUUGUCACGCCAGUGGCAUCGCCGGGUAGCUAUGUUCGGAAGAGAUAACCGCUGAAAGCAUCUAAGCGGGAAACUCGCCUUAAGAUGAGAUAUCCCUGGGGACUAGAUCCCCUUGAAGGGUCGUUCGAGACCAGGACGUUGAUAGGUCAGGUGUGUAAGCGCAGUAAUGCGUUCAGCUAACUGAUACUAAUUGCCCGUAAGGCUUGAUCCUAUAACA
rnacentral:rRNA from 1 species